GCAUUGGUGGUUUAGUUGUAGAAUUCUCACCUUCCUUACAGGAGACCCGGGUUCAAUUCCUGGCCAUUGUA
rnacentral:tRNA from 1 species